GACGAACGCUGGUGGCGUGCUUAACACAUGCAAGUCGAACGGUAUUUAGUAAACAUAAGCCUCGGUGGAAGAUUACUAAUGAGAUUGGUGACCGGGUGAGUAACGCGUGAGCAACCUGCCUAUGACAGUGGGAUAGCCUCGUGAAACCGGGAUUAAUACCGCAUAAAAUCGUAGAAACACAUGUUUUAACGGUCAAAGAUUUAUCGGUCAUAGAUGGGCUCGCGUCUGAUUAGCUAGUUGGUGAGAUAACCGCCCACCAAGGCGACGAUCAGUAGCCGGUAUGAGAAGAUGAACCGCAACAUUGGAACUGAGACACGGACCAAACUCCUACGGGAGGGAGCAAUGGGGAAUAUUGCACAAUGGGGGAAAGCCUGAUGCAGCGACGCCGCGUGAACGAAGAAGGUAUUCGUAUCGUAAAGUUCUGUGCUAUGGGAAGAUAAUGACAGUACCAUAGAAGAAAGCUCCGGCUAAAUACGUG
rnacentral:rRNA from 1 species